rnacentral:tRNA from 1 species
GGAGAUGUGGCUCAGUGGUAGAGCACUUGGCUAGCAUGUGAGCAGUGCUGGGUUCCAUCUCCA